rnacentral:lncRNA from 1 species
UAGAAGUCAGGUCGGAUUAAGCCAUAGUACGGAAAAAACUAUGCUACCUGUGAGCCCCGUCCAAGGACGUUAAAAGAAGUCAGGCCAUCAUAAAUGCCAUAGUUUGAGCAAACUAUGCUGCCUGUAGCUCCACCUGAGAAGGUGUNAAAAAUCUGGGAGGCCACAAACCAUGGAAGCUGUACGCAUGG